rnacentral:rRNA from 1 species
ACAUAUAGUUAUUUUGAUUUUUUUGGUGAAGGAUAAUAAAUUUGUUUUGGUUAAUAAUUUAGUUUUUAGGUGAAAUUUAAACUAUUAAUAAACCAUUAAUUUAUAAUUCCUAUAAAUUUAAUAAAAAACUAGGAUUAGAUACCCUAUUAUUUUAACUUAAUAUAAUCACUAUACUAUUAAAAGUUAUGUUCUUUAAAAUAAAAAAUUUUGGCGGUAUUCUAGUCUUUUCAGAGGAACCUGUUCUAUAAUUGAUAAUCCACGAUUAGACAAACUUAUUUUCAGUUUACAUAUCGUUGUUAAAACUAUAUUUAAAGAUUAUGGUUAAAUUUCUUUAUUAUGAAUUAAUUCAAAUCAAGGUGUAGCUUUAUAAAUAAGUAGAAAUGGGUUACAAUAUGUAUACAUGAGGAUUUAUAAUUUUAAAUUUUAAUUAAUUUGGAUUUGAAAGUAAUUUUUUAUAUUUAUUUAAAAUGAUUAUUAGCUCUAGAAU